ACGGAAGGCAGCAGUAGGGAAUCUUCGGCAAUGGGGGGAACCCUGACCGAGCAACGCCGCGUGAGUGAAGAAGGUUUUCGGAUCGUAAAGCUCUGUUGUUAGAGAAGAACGUGUGUGAGAGUGGAAAGUUCACACAGUGACGGUAACUAACCAGAAAGGGACGGCUAACUACGUGCCAGCAGCCGCGGUAAUACGUAGGUCCCGAGCGUUGUCCGGAUUUAUUGGGCGUAAAGCGAGCGCAGGCGGUUCUGGAAGUCUGAAGUUAAAGGCAGUGGCUUAACCAUUGUACGCGUUGGAAACUGCAGGACUUAAGUGCAGAAGGGGAGAGUGGAAUUCCAUGUGUAGCGGUGAAAUGCGUAGAUAUAUGGAGGAACACCGGUGGCGAAAGCGGCUCUCUGGUCUGUAACUGACGCUGAGGCGCGAAAGUGUGGGGAGCAAACAGGAUUAGAUACCCUGGUA
rnacentral:rRNA from 1 species